rnacentral:rRNA from 1 species
GUGGGGAAUCUUCCGCAAUGGACGAAAGUCUGACGGAGCAACGCCGCGUGAGUGAUGAAGGUCUUCGGAUUGUAAAGCUCUGUUAAUCGGGACGAAAGAGCCUAGUGUGAAUAAUGCUAGGAAGUGACGGUACCGGAAUAGAAAGCCACGGCUAACUACGUGCCAGCAGCCGCGGUAAUACGUAGGUGGCAAGCGUUGUCCGGAAUUAUUGGGCGUAAAGCGCGCGCAGGCGGAUCUGCCAGUCUGUCUUAAAAGUUCGGGGCUUAACCCCGUGAUGGGAUGGAAACUACAGAUCUAGAGUAUCGGAGAGGAAAGUGGAAUUCCUAGUGUAGCGGUGAAAUGCGUAGAUAUUAGGAAGAACACCAGUGGCGAAGGCGACUGACUGGACAAGUAUUGACGCUGAGGUGCGAAAGCGUGGGGAGCAAACAGGAUUAGAAACCCCAGUAGUCC